rnacentral:rRNA from 1 species
GACGAACGCUGGCGGCGUGCUUAACACAUGCAAGUCGAACGAAGAGCGACGGAAGCUUGCUUCUAUCAAUCUUAGUGGCGAACGGGUGAGUAACGCGUAAUCAACCUGCCCUUCAGAGGGGGACAACAGUUGGAAACGACUGCUAAUACCGCAUACGAUCUAACCUCGGCAUCGAGGAUAGAUGAAAGGUGGCCUCUACAUGUAAGCUAUCACUGAAGGAGGGGAUUGCGUCUGAUUAGCUAGUUGGAGGGGUAACGGCCCACCAAGGCGAUGAUCAGUAGCCGGUCUGAGAGGAUGAACGGCCACAAUGGGACUGAGACACGGCCCAGACUCCUACGGGAGGCAGCAGUGGGGAAUCUUCCGCAAUGGACGAAAGUCUGACGGAGCAACGCCGCGUGAGUGAUGACGGCCUUCGGGUUGUAAAGCUCUGUUAAUCGGGACGAAAGGCCUUCUUGCGAAUAGUGAGAAGGAUUGACGGUACCGGAAUAGAAAGCCACGGCUAACUACGU